GUGUCAGCCGCCGCGGUAAUACGUAGGGUGCAAGCGUUAAUCGGAAUUACUGGGCGUAAAGCGUGCGCAGGCGGUUUUGUAAGUCAGAUGUGAAAUCCCCGGGCUUAACCUGGGAACUGCGUUUGAAACUACAAGGCUAGAGUGUGGCAGAGGGGGGUGGAAUUCCACGUGUAGCAGUGAAAUGCGUAGAGAUGUGGAGGAACACCGAUGGCGAAGGCAGCCCCCUGGGUUAACACUGACGCUCAGGCACGAAAGCGUGGGGAGCAAACAGGAUUAGAAACCCUUGUAGUCC
rnacentral:rRNA from 1 species